rnacentral:lncRNA from 1 species
GGGGCGGAUCUACUUUAAGGUAAGAAUGGGGCACUUGCCCCCCAUGAAAGUUUAAAUGAUUAGUAUAUAUUUCAGUUGUCCCAUUCAAAAAUACUUUCUGCCACCCUAACAAAAUCUGUUCUCAAAGCUCAGUUCAGAAUCUCUAUUAUUUCCAAUUUUUUACAAGGCCAUUUAUUAUAUUUCUUUUAGCAUUAUUAUGUUUCCAUAUUUGAUUUGCGAACAUUAAACCAAUGUUUCCGUUUUAUAUAAAUAAAAUCAAUUUUUUUUUUGUUUUUUUAACUUGAUAAAAUCAACUUGUUGCUUAAAAUAAGUAUUUUUAUAACAGAAAAUAAAUAUCUAUUUAUUUAAUAUGUUAUAACAACUAGUUUUCUUUACUUUAUCGUAAUACAUGCAAUGACAAUAAAAAAUAUUAUUUUCAUUUUACUUUUUCAUAUA